AAAGGGGAGCGGUAGAAGCGUCUAGCACUCUCCACUGACUCCGUGGGGGUUCGUCAAGCCGGGCACGGAACGCGCUGCCGCUGCCGCGAUCCGAGCGAGCUCCACAAGCCGACGCCGGCGGCGAGGAGGGAGGACGGCUCCGAUGGACGCGUCGGGCGAGCUGCAGUGCGUGGGGUGGCUGGAGAUCGCCGCGCCGCCGCCGGCGCGCUACCUCCGCAUGGGCUCCCUCCCGGUCCCCACCGACGACUCCGCCUACCUCCCCGCCCUCCUCCCCUCCGCUUCCCCGACUGGGACUGGAGCUCCAAGGUAUCAAAUGCUGCCACUGGAGACUGACCUCAACACACUCCCCGUGAUUCCAAACCUCCCGGAGAAGGUUUUCCCAACGGAUGCGAAGAGUACUGAAGGUGACCUCUGUCGAGCCUUCGUUGUUAUAGUUUGAUCAUCAAAACAAGAUUCUAGGCUUCUUGGCAGUUUGUAGUAUAAGGCAGCAUUACUGAUGGUAAAAACAUGCGUGUGCUAUUAAAAUUAGAGGGACUGUCUAUUCUACAUCCGGAUGAAAUUCAAUUAGCUUUCAUCCAGAUUUUUCAGCCAACCACAGGAUGCCAA